ACAGGGAUUGCCCUAGUAACGGCGAGUGAAGCGGCAACAGCUCAAAUUUGAAAUCUGGCUCUUUUAGAGUCCGAGUUGUAAUUUGCAGAGGGCGCUUUGGCGUUGGCAGCGGUCCAAGUUCCUUGGAACAGGACGUCACAGAGGGUGAGAAUCCCGUACGUGGUCGCUACCCUUCGCCGUGUAAAGCCCCUUCGACGAGUCGAGUUGUUUGGGAAUGCAGCUCUAAAUGGGAGGUAAAUUUCUUCUAAAGCUAAAUACUGGCCAGAGACCGAUAGCGCACAAGUAGAGUGAUCGAAAGAUGAAAAGCACUUUGGAAAGAGAGUCAAAUAGCACGUGAAAUUGUUGAAAGGGAAGCGCUUGCAGCCAGACUUGCCUGUAGUUGCUCAUCCGGGCUUUUGCCCGGUGCACUCUUCUGCGGGCAGGCCAGCAUCAGUUUGGGCGGUUGGAUAAAGGUCUCUGUCAUGUACCUCUCUUCGGGGAGGCCUUAUAGGGGAGACGACAUGCAACCAGCCUGGACUGAGGUCCGCGCAUUUUGCUAGGAUGCUGGCGUAAUGGCUGUAAGCGGCCCGUCUUGAAACACGGACCAAGGAGUCUAACAUCUAUGCGAGUGUUUGGGUGUCAAGCCCGAGCGCGCAAUGAAAGUGAACGGAGGUGGGACCCCUUUAGGGUGCACCAUCGACCGAUCCUGAAGUCUUCGGAUGGAUUUGAGUAAGAGCAUGGCUGUUGGGACCCGAAAGAUGGUGAACUAUGCUUGAAUAGGGUGAAGCCAGAGGAAACUCUGGUGGAGGCUCGCAGCGGUUCUGACGUGCAAAUCGAUCGUCAAAUUUGGGCAUAGGGGCGAAAGACUAA
rnacentral:rRNA from 1 species